UACGUAGGGUGCAAGCGUUGUCCGGAAUUAUUGGGCGUAAAGAGCUCGUAGGCGGUUUGUCACGUCGGCUGUGAAAUCCCGAGGCUCAACCUCGGGCCUGCAGUCGAUACGGGCAAACUAGAGUGCGGUAGGGGAGACUGGAAUUCCUGGUGUAGCGGUGAAAUGCGCAGAUAUCGGGAGGAACACCGGUGGCGAAGGCGGUUCUCUGGGCCUUACCUGACGCUGAGGAGCGAAAGCGUGGGGAGCGAACAGG
rnacentral:rRNA from 1 species